AAAUAAAGGUGUUCUCAACUAGCCUACCUGGUGAAAUAAAGGUGUUCUCAACUAGCCUACCUGGUGAAAUAAAGGUGUUCUCAACUAGCCUACCUGGUGAAAUAAAGGUGUUCUCAACUAGCCUACCUGGUUAAAUAAAGGUGUUCUCAACUAGCCUACCUGGUUAAAUAAAGGUGUUCUCAACUAGCCUACCUGGUUAAAUAAAGGUGUUCUCAACUAGCCUACCUGGUUAAAUAAAGGUGUUCUCAACUAGCCUACCUGGUUAAAUAAAGGUGUUCUCAACUAGCCUACCUGGUGAAAUAAAGGUGUUCUCAACUAGCCUACCUGGUUAAAUAAAGGUGUUCUCAACUAGCCUACCUGGUUAAAUAAAGGUGUUCUCAACUAGCCUACCUGGUUAAAUAAAGGUGUUCUCAACUAGCCUACCAGGUUAAAUAAAGGUGUUCUCAACUAGCCUACCUGGUGAAAUAAAGGUGUUCUCAACUAGCCUACCUGGUUAAAUAAAGGUGUUCUCAACUAGCCUACCUGGUGAAAUAAAGGUGUUCUCAACUAGCCUACCUGGUUAAAUAAAGGUGUUCUCAACUAGCCUACCUGGUGAAAUAAAGGUGUUCUCAACUAGCCUACCUGGUUAAAUAAAGGUG